UGUGUUCCGCCCACGCUCAGCACAGGCCGCCAGAUUCCCCUGGUUCCUGAUGCACUGUGUAAACAACUGCUGCUUUAGGAGUGCAUCCGUUACUGAGCCUCCGCACCCGAGACGCAGCACACGAGUGCUCCACGUCAACCUAAAUAUACACUGUAACACUCUGGAGUUUGCAGAUUUAAAGCAGUGUUUUGGGGAGGUUUUUUCUUUUUUGUUUACUUGUGAAGUCUCUGAAGAAGUGAUCGACAGAGCGAGUGUGCGGCAAAACCUGGAGCUGCCAACGGAACUGAAGUCUGAUGGACCUGCACAGGUGGUUUGGACCACGGUGAGACGUUGAAGCCAGGGGCUCUGUAGGAAACAUCUCCAGCCCUAGAGCUGCUCCAGCCAGAGCUGCGGUGUGCCCCUCCGCUGCCCUGAAAUACCCCUGCAGCAGAGUGUUUGUGCUCAGGCCACUGGAUACUAAUCAGGCCCGCUGACCUUCCACUGUGGACAAUGAGAACUGUGUCCCAUAGCUGAAACAAAAGGAGAAAUCAGAACUCACUCGGCCUGAUUCGCCAUGGUACGGUUACAAAGUAAUUACGCCUCCUCGGUGCCUGUCCGCCGGAAAACCGAGAACUCGGAGGCUGGAAAAGAUUCCAAACGCAAUAACUCAAAGUAACAAGGCGGAUAUUGCGUUAUGGUGACAUUCGCAAUAGCUUGUGCCACGGCGGUGAGUUCCUAAGGGUUCGGUGACGUGGAUCGGUGAGGUAUGACGGGAAUGUCAGUAAGGCAUGUCGACUGGUGUUAUCCGCACAUCCCAGCGCAAACACAAAGCCCCCACAGCCGAAAAAACAUCCCGAUUUGGAUUUUCACGAUGCAGUUUGUAUGGACGUUGGCAUGUGCAGGCUAUGCACGACAGUGUUUCGUGAUGACUGAGAGCAUGUUUUCCUCGCCAGCCCUGACGAAAUAGCCCUGCUAUAUGGAACGCUAAAGCAAUGAACUCUUCCCGCUAUUCAAGGCAUGCAGGCUUUUACAACAGAGCUCAUACUUUACCUGCUGAAUGUUAUGCUUGGGUAAACCUGUAAUUUAUUGCACUCACAUAAUUGUAAUUUUUCAAAUAACAAGUUACACCAUUUUUUGGCUGAUUAAAUUGAAGAUUUUGUUGAAUGUGUCAAA